rnacentral:lncRNA from 1 species
AGAUGACUUGUUGAUCGAUUCUUGCAUAUAUACAGUAGUUGACCUAUUAAUCAGUAUCUACAUACUUUUGGUAGGAUGUUGAGUUGUUCCAUCCCAGUUGACUUGAUUAGUCAGUACUUACAUACAGUUGAGAGGAUGUAGAGUCGUUCCAUCCUAGUUGACUUGAGUGGUCGGUUCUUGUGCUUCUUUAUAGUUUGAUGACCUAUUGGUCGGC